rnacentral:misc_RNA from 1 species
CACCGUCUAUUGCCGGCGCUGGUGCGCUUCAACCGAGAAGUGGAGGCGCUCAGCGCUAUAGAGGAAGCCUUAUCGACCCGUCCACACUUGAUGCUCGACCGUAUGACUGGCUGCUAAAUGGAGUUCUUCGGCUUACCGGAUUGGAUCGUCUUAGCGGCGACUAUCUGUGUCCUUGUCUAUUUGUACGCUUCGUGGAACCGAAACUACUGGAGAAACCAGAAUGUCGUGUCAGAGCCAUUUUCCUUUCCAUUUGGUGCAACUUUCAAAUUAUUUCUCAAGCCAAUGUGCCAGCUUGACUCUGAAAGAUAUAAACGAUAUGGAAGGGUCUUCGGUACCUUCGAGAUGGGAAAUGCUGUCUUGUUUGUCGGAGAGGCAAAAUUGGUCGAACAAGUCCUAGUGAACGACUUUUCAUCGCUUCCGAACCGAAGGACCCUAACCUCUAACGACCCCGUGUUGGACAACAUGAUGAGUAUGGCACCCUUUGAACGUUGGAGCAAGAUUCGCAUGCCGGUGUCCCAGGCCUUCUCCAUCGAAAACGUGAAAAAGAUGAAUUCAUUGAUAGAAGACUGCGCUUUAGUUAUGGCGAACCAUCUGAAGAAAGCAGCACUGAAUGAAGAGGACAUCGACGUCAAAAAGUUUUUUGGGAGCUACACUCUGGACGUGAUCGCAAGAUGCGUAUUCGCCACCCGGAUAGACUCUCAUUCGGAAGGAAAGAGUGAAUUCGUCACCCAGUCAAGGCAGGCUCCUUCAGGACGUCUUACGCCCCGUAUCUUCGUGUACUUUCUUCUCCCGUUCAUCGCAAGAGCAACUGGUCUUCGACCACUCAGCCCCAGCGUGCUUGAGUACUUCAGGAGCUUAAGCCAAAACGUAAUCAAAAGCACACAGAAGAAGGAGCCGAAAGAUGAGAGCUUUGUUCACCUCUUUUUGGACCAUCAAGAGAAUCGUCAAAACACACAGGAUAGUUCUUCUGAGAGGGAUCAGCGAUUGUUCAACCUCGGUUCAGAGAUGAAGCCAGAUACUUCGUUAUAUUCCUUUGAAAAGCUUAACGAAGACCAAGCAAUGGCCCAGUGUUUGCUCUUCUUCAUUGCUGGCCAAGAAACUACUUCAAGAGUGAUUGCCUACACAUUGUAUUUGCUUGCUAUUCACCCAGAUGUACAAACAAAUUUGAGGAAGGAAGUUGAUGAGUGUUUUGCUACUCACGGUGAUCACCCCGACCUGGAAGCUAUCACGAAGCUGAAGCAUCUGCAUUGUGUUAUCUCGGAGUCGCUUCGAAUGUACCCGCCAGUAUCAAGACUUGAGCGAGUGCCUUGUUGCGACUACACACUUGGAGACAAAGGCGUGAGAUUGAAGAAAGGUUCGACGACGAGAACGUCUCUUCGAUCGUACCGUACUCGUACCUACCUUUCGGCGGUGGACCGCGCAAUUGCGUAGCGUUGCGCUUUGCCCUGCAAGCUGUGAAGCUCUCUUUGGUUCACACCGUUCGCAGUGUCCAAGUGGUUCGGACCGAGAAAACAAGAGUGCCCCUGGAAUUCAAGCAUGGUUUCGGGCUCCUUACAGCGAAGGAUAUAAUUCUGGGAGUAAGGAAGCGGCCAUAGCUCGAACGCCAGCUGCGCAUGCGCCCACACCGACUCGCCCACCAUCGCAUCAAAUCGGGAUGCCACUAUCAUGUUCCACGUAAUGUGCGCUUAGUGGGACCCUCAUCUCGGGGUCUACGCCGUGGAAUAUCACGACUGGCAUAUGGUGGGAAAAUAAAGGAUCAUUUUAA